UACAGAGGUGGCAAGCGUUUGUUCGGAAUUACUGGGCGUAAAGGGCGCGUAGGCGGUUCGAUAAGUCCCGUGUGAAAGCCCCCGGCUCAACUGGGGAACUGCACGGGAAACUGACGGACUUGAGUUCGGGAGAGGGAAGCGGAAUUCCGGGUGUAGCGGUGAAAUGCGGUAGAUAUCCGGAGGAACACCGGUGGCGAAGGCG
rnacentral:rRNA from 1 species